rnacentral:rRNA from 1 species
UACGGAGGGGGCCAGCGUUGUUCGGAAUUAUUGGGCGUAAAGGGCGCGUAGGCGGCCUGUCAAGUCAGACGUGAAAUCCCGCGGCUCAACUGCGGAACUGCGUUUGAAACUGACAGGCUUGAGUCCCGGAGAGGAUAGCGGAAUUCCCAGUGUAGCGGUGAAAUGCGUAGAUAUUGGGAGGAACACCAGUGGCGAAGGCGGCUAUCUGGACGGGUACUGACGCUGAUGCGCGAAAGCGUGGGGAGCAAACAGG